AUAAGCACUUGUACUGUGAAACUGCGAAUGGCUCAUUAAAUCAGUUAUCGUUUAUUUGAUUGUACUUUACUACAUGGAUACCUGUGGUAAUUCUAGAGCUAAUACAUGCGAAAAAUCCCAACUUCUGGAAGGGAUGUAUUUAUUAGAUUAAAAACCAAUGCGUACCUUCGGGUUCGUUUUCUUGGUGAUUCAUGAUAACUUUUCGAAUCGCAUGGCCUAGCGCCGGCGAUAUUUCAUUCAAAUUUCUGCCCUAUCAACUGUCGAUGGUAAGGUAGUGGCUUACCAUGGUUAUAACGGGUGACGGAGAAUUAGGGUUCGAUUCCGGAGAGGGAGCCUGAGAAACGGCUACCACAUCUAAGGAAGGCAGCAGGCUCGAAAAUUACCCAAUCCCAACUCGGGGAGGUAGUGACAAGAAAUAACGAUACGGGGUCUUAAUAGGUCUCGCAAUUGGAAUGAGUACAAUUUAAAUCCUUUAACGAGGAUCAA
rnacentral:rRNA from 1 species